AUGAGCACAACCUCGGCCUCGGUGGCGGCGCUGGACCCGGACACGGCCGUGGCGGAGCUGGACGACCUCCCGGGCGGUGCGGACUCGUUCGAGCUCGUCGCUAGGUUCUGCUACGGCAUGGCGGUGGACCUGACAGCGUCCAACAUCUCCGGGCUGCGCUGCAUUGCCGAGUACCUGGAGAUGACGGAGGACCUGGAGGAGGGCAACCUCAUCUUCAAGAUGGAGGCGUUCCUCGGUGCUCUCCUCCUGGCGCGACUCCAUCGUCGUCCUCAAGAGCUGCGAGGGCCUCUCGCCCUGGGCCGAGAACCUGCAGAUCAUGCGCCGCUACAGCGAGUCCAUCGCCUGGAAGGCCUGCCCAAACCCCAGGGGCGUCCGCUGGGCCUACACCGGCGCCGGCAGCGGCAGGCCGCCCCGGAGCGGCGCCACAAGCCCACGCUGGAACAACGCCGCCGCCGCCGGCGGCGGUUCCAAGGAGUCCAGCCCCAGCCGCGGGCAGCCUGUGCCGCCGUCCGACUGGUGGUUCGAGGACGUGUCCGUUCUCCGGAUCGACCACUUCGUGCGCGUCGUCACUGCCAUCAAGUUCAAAGGUAA
rnacentral:rRNA from 1 species